GACAGAGGGUGCGAACGUUGUUCGGAUUUACUGGGCGUAAAGCGCGUGUAGGCGGCAGCGCAAGUCGGGCGUGAAAUCCCACGGCUCAACCGUGGAAGUGCACUCGAAACUGCGCAGCUAGAGUCCUGGAGAGGAAGGUGGAAUGCUUGGUGUAGAGGUGAAAUUCGUAGAUAUCAAGCGGAACACCGGUGGCGAAGGCGGCCUUCUGGACAGUGACUGACGCUGAGACGCGAAAGCGUGGGGAGCAAACAGG
rnacentral:rRNA from 1 species